GAAGUGAUUAUGCUGACAUGAGUAACGAUAAAAUAUGUGAAAAACAUAUUCGCCGAAAACCCGAGGUUUCCUGGGUAAAGGUAAUCUUCCCAGGGUUAGUCGGAUCCUAAGGUGAGGGUGAAAGCCGUAACCGAUGGAAAACAGGUUAAUAUUCCUGUACUUGUUGUGUAGCGCGAUGGAGGGACGCAGGAAGAUAGGCGGGCCGGGUGUUGGAUAUCCCGGUGCAAGCGUGUAGGAAUAUCCGGUAGGCAAAUCCGCCGGACGAAUCUGAGACGCGAGUCCGUGGGCGCAAGCCCUGAAGCCGUUGAGUCUAUGCUGCCUAGAAAAGCUCCUAAGUUUAUCCACAGCAAUCCGUACCGCAAACCAACUCAGGUGGGUGGGAUGAACAAUCCAAGGCGCUCGAGAGAACUCUGGCCAAGGAACUCGGCAAAAUAACCCCGUAACUUCGGAAGAAGGGGUGCUCUCUAGGGUGACAUGUUUAACAUAUGAAGCCCCGGGGAGCCGCAGUGAAUUGGUGGUGGCGACUGUUUACUAAAAACAUAGGUCUGUGCGAAGUCCUAAAGACGACGUAUACGGACUGACGCCUGCCCGGUGCUGGAAGGUUAAAAGGAGGGGUCAGCGCAAGCAAAGCUCCGAAUUGAAGCCCCAGUAAACGGCGGCCGUAACUAUAACGGUCCUAAGGUAGCGAAAUUCCUUGUCGGGUAAGUUCCGACCUGCACGAAUGGCGUAACGAUCUCCACACUGUCUCGGCCAGAGACUCGGUGAAAUUGCAGUCGCGGUGAAAAUUCCGUGUACCCGCAGAAAGACGGAAAGACCCUGUGCACCUUUACUAUAGCUUGACAUUGGAUUUUGGGCCUGCAUGUGUAGGAUAGGUGGGAGGCUGUGAACCCUGUACGCCAGUAUGGGGGGAGCCAUCCUUGAAAUACCACCCUUGCAUGUUUAAGAUCCUAACUUCUUCCGGUUAUCCCGGAGAAAGACAGUGUCUGGCGGGUAGUUUGACUGGGGCGGUCGCCUCCUAAAGUGUAACGGAGGCAUGCAAAGGUUCCCUCAGCCUGAUCGGAAACCAGGCGCUGAGUGCAAACGCAUAAGGGAGCUUGACUGUAAGAGAGACAUCUCGAACAGGAACGAAAGUUGGCGUUAGUGAUCCGGUGGUCCCGAAUGGAAGGGCCAUCGCUCAUUGGAUAAAAGGUACGCCGGGGAUAACAGGCUGAUCGCAUCCAAGAGUUCACAUCGACGAUGCGGUUUGGCACCUCGAUGUCGGCUCAUCACAUCCUGGGGCUGAAGCAGGUCCCAAGGGUACGGCUGUUCGCCGUUUAAAGUGGUACGCGAGCUGGGUUUAAAACGUCGUGAGACAGUUUGGUCCCUAUCUUCUGUGGGCGAAGGAGAAUUGAGAGGGCCUGUCCCUAGUACGAGAGGACCGGGAUGGACGCACCCCUGGUGAUCCUGUUGUCGCGCCAGCGGCAUAGCAGGGUAGCUAUGUGCGGAAGGGAUAACCGCUGAAAGCAUCUAAGCGGGAAGCCUGCCUCAAGAUAAGUUCUCCCCUCGAAAGAGCUGAAGGGCCCGGGUAGACUACCCGGUCGAUAGGCUGGAGGUGUAAGCGCGGCGACGUGCUCAGCUGACCAGUACUAAUAGCCCGAGCGGCUUAUUUUU
rnacentral:rRNA from 1 species